rnacentral:rRNA from 1 species
GACGAACGCUGGCGGCGUGCCUAAUACAUGCAAGUAGGACGCACAGUCUAUACCGUAGCUUGCUACACCAUAGGCUGUGAGUUGCGAGCGGGUGAGUAACGCGUAGGUAACCUGCCUAUUAGAGGGGGAUAACUAUUGGAAACGAUAGCUAAUACCGCAUAACAGUAUGUAACACAUGUUAGAUGCUUGAAAGAUGCAAUUGCAUCGCUAGUAGAUGGACCUGCGUUGUAUUAGCUAGUAGGUAGGGUAAUGGCCUACCUAGGCGACGAUACAUAGCCGACCUGAGAGGGUGAUCGGCCACACUGGGACUGAGACACGGCCCAGACUCCUACGGGAGGCAGCAGUAGGGAAUCUUCGGCAAUGGGGGGAACCCUGACCGAGCAACGCCGCGUGAGUGAAGAAGGUUUUCGGAUCGUAAAGCUCUGUUGUUAAGGAAGAACGAGUGUGAGAAUGGAAAGUUCAUACUGUGACGGUACUUAACCAGAAAGGGACGGCUAACUACGUG